rnacentral:rRNA from 1 species
UGAGGAAUAUUGGUCAAUGGGCGCAAGCCUGAACCAGCCAUCCCGCGUGCAGGAAGACGGCCCUAUGGGUUGUAAACUGCUUUUCCAGGGAGAGAAACUUGCGUACGCGUUGCGCAAUUGACGGUACCCUGGGAAUAAGCAUCGGCUAACUCCGUGCCAGCAGCCGCGGUAAUACGGAGGAUGCGAGCGGUAUCCGGAUUCAUUGGGUUUAAAGGGUGCGUAGGCGGACUAGUAAGUCAGUGGUGAAAUCCUGCAGCUUAACGGCAGAACUGCCAGUGAUACUGAUAGCCUUGAGUUUGGUUAAGGUAGUCGGAAUGUGUAAUGUAGCGGUGAAAUGCUUAGAUAUUACACAGAACACCAAUUGCGUAGGCAGCUUACUGAGCCGACACUGACGCUGAGGCACGAAAGCGUGGGGAUCGAACA